rnacentral:rRNA from 1 species
UACGAAGGAGGCUAGCGUUGUUCGGAAUUACUGGGCGUAAAGCGCUCGCAGGCGGAUCGAUAAGUCAGGGGUGAAAUCCCGGGGCUCAACCUCGGAAUUGCCUUUGAUACUGUCAAUCUCGAGUCCGGGAGAGGUGAGUGGAAUUCCUAGUGUAGAGGUGAAAUUCGUAGAUAUUCGGAAGAACACCAGUGGCGAAGGCGACUUACUGGACACAUAUUGACGCUGAGGUGCGAAAGCGUGGGGAGCAAACAGG